rnacentral:rRNA from 1 species
AGGACUAACGCUGGCGGCGUGCCUAACACAUGCAAGUCGAACGAGAGUAGCAAUACUCUAGUGGCAGACGGGUGGGUAACACGUGGUCAACCUACCUCUAUGUGGGGGAUAACUAGCCGAAAGGUUAGCUAAUACCGCAUACGAUCGUCGAGCGGCAUCGCUUGACGAUGAAAGGAGCAAUCCGCAGAGAGACGGGACCGCGUCCCAUUAGCUAGUUGGUGGGGUAAUGGCCUACCAAGGCGACGAUGGGUAGCUGGCUUGAGAGAGCGACCAGCCACACUGGGACUGAGACACGGCCCAGACUCCUACGGGAGGCAGCAGUGAGGAAUUUUCCGCAAUGGGCGAAAGCCUGACGGAGCGACGCCGCGUGUGGGAAGAAGGCCUUCGGGUCGUAACCACUGUCGAAGGGGAAGAUAUUGACGGUACCCUUGGAGGAAGCCCCGGCUAACUACGUGCCAGCAGCCGC